CAGCCGCCGCGGUAACACGGAGGAUCCAAGCGUUAUCCGGAUUUAUUGGGUUUAAAGGGUGCGUAGGCGGCCUAUUAAGUCAGGGGUGAAAGACGGUAGCUCAACUAUCGCAGUGCCUUUGAUACUGAUAGGCUUGAAUGUACUUGAAGUGGGCGGAAUGUGACAAGUAGCGGUGAAAUGCAUAGAUAUGUCACAGAACACCGAUUGCGAAGGCAGCUCACUAAAGUAUGAUUGACGCUGAGGCACGAAAGCGUGGGGAUCAAACAGGAUUAGAGACCCGAGUAGUCCCUGUCUCUUAUAC
rnacentral:rRNA from 1 species